rnacentral:rRNA from 1 species
AUGAACGCUGGCGGCGUGCCUAAUACAUGCAAGUCGAGCGAACAGAUGAGGAGCUUGCUCCUCUGACGUUAGCGGCGGACGGGUGAGUAACACGUGGAUAACCUACCUAUAAGACUGGGAUAACUUCGGGAAACCGGAGCUAAUACCGGAUAAUAUAUUGAACCGCAUGGUUCAAUAGUGAAAGACGGUUUUGCUGUCACUUAUAGAUGGAUCCGCGCCGCAUUAGCUAGUUGGUAAGGUAACGGCUUACCAAGGCAACGAUGCGUAGCCGACCUGAGAGGGUGAUCGGCCACACUGGAACUGAGACACGGUCCAGACUCCUGCGGGAGGCAGCAGUAGGGAAUCUUCCGCAAAGGGCGAAAGCCUGACGGAGCAACGCCGCGUGAGUGAUGAAGGUCUUCGGAUCGUAAAACUCUGUUAUUAGGGAAGAACAAAUGUGUAAGUAACUAUGCACGUCUUGACGGUACCUAAUCAGAAAGCCACGGCUAACUACGUG